AGUCCAGGAACCGCUUUUGCAUAACCUCAGUAGAUAAAGCAUGCUGAGGUCAUGUCAGAUCAUUUCAAGCUCUUCUGUGUCGAGCUGAGGAGCUGCUCUGUGCCCGGCUUACAGAACUGGAAGGGGGAGCCACCUUCCGCCUGAUGGAGGCUGGAGAACGGAUGGAACCUGGAUCCCUGGAGCCUGGGACACUACCUCGCUGCGGUUGGUGGUGGCCACAGACCAGUAGGAGGGCGGCUGGCAGCGGGAGCUUCUUCUGCCGGGCUGGAGGACUAGGAGAAGGGAGAGGGAACGCCACAUGCUGGAGGCUGGAGCCUGUGCCACCGUGGCUCACCUCGAUGUGGUUGGUGGCAGCUCGCCUUGCUGUGGUUGGUGGUGACGUCGGAGACUGCAGCUCGGCCACAGUGGUAGAAAUGUGUUGGGGUAGCUUUUGCUGUGUUGGGCACUUGCUCCCAUCUGCUUGCUUCUCUAGAAUCCACUGCCCUAGAAUGAGUAAUUUUUCUUAGAAGCAGAGUUGGAACCACUGAGGAAGCACAGGACCACCAGAACAACCCCAUCAUGGCCCUGUCACCAGGCCCAGUUUGGCUCCAUGAUAACCAAGACGCAGGUCCAGAGACAACCGCCCUGCUUGAUGCCUGCAUCUGACCUCCCUUGGUGGGUAGUGAUGAGCACAACAUGGAAGAAGCCAGGGCAGCUUGUGGCCAGCUGCCCUACAGCCCCAGAUGGCUGGGGACUAGGAUUCCAAAAGGAUGAUUUUGGAGCUGUAGGAUUGAAUGACUGGCCUGCUGGGUUUUGGAUGUUCGUGUAUCCUAUGAGUCCCAUCGGUGUUUGUUUUUCUUUCAGGCAAUUUUUCUUCUAUUGGCUGGGAAUGCUUACCCAUUGCCUGUACAAUCAUUGUACCUUGGAAGUAGUUAACUUGCUUUAUAAUUCAGAGGCUCAUGGGCAGAAGGGACUGUAUCCUUGUCCCAGAUAAAACUUUGGGCUUUGGACAUUUGCUGGAAUGAGUUAAGAUUUGGGGGACUGUAGGGAAGUCAUCAUUGUAUUUUGCAACGUGAGAAAGACAUACGAGAUUUGCAUGGGCAGGGACAGAAUAAUAUGACUUGGCUCUGUGUCCCACUGCUGUGAAAUUGUAACGGGAAAUGUUAAAGGUGGUGGGGGCUGGUGGAAGGUGAUUUAAUCAUGGUGGAGA
rnacentral:lncRNA from 1 species